rnacentral:rRNA from 1 species
CCUAAAGCAUCCGUAGCCGGAUCUGUAAGUUUUCGGUUAAAUCUGUACGCUCAACGUACAGGCUGCCGGGAAUACUGCAGAGCUAGGGAGUGGGAGAGGUAGACGGUACUCGGGAGGAAGUGGUAAAAUGCUUUGAUCUUUCGAUGACCGCCUGUGGCGAAGGCGGUCUACCAGAACACGUCCGACGGUGAGGGAUGAAAGCUGGGGGAGCAAACCGGAUUAGAUACCCGGGUAGUCCCAGCCGUAAACUAUGCAAACUCAGUGAUGCAUUGGCUUGUGGCCAAUCGAGUGUUGCAGGGAAGCCGUUAAGUUUGCCGCCUGGGAAGUACGUACGCAAGUAUGAAACUUAAAGGAAUUGGCGGGGGAGCACCACAAGGGGUGAAGCCUGCGUUCAAUUGGAGUCAACGCCAGAAAUCUUACCCGGAGAGACAGCAGAAUGAAGGUCAAGCUGAAGACUUUACCAGACAAGCUGAGAGGUGGUGCAUGGCCGUCGCCAGCUCGUGCCGUGAGAUGUCCUGUUAAGUCAGGUAACGAGCGAGAUCCCUGCCUCUAGUUGCCACCAUUACUAUUAGCGGGACCGCCGCAGUUAAUGCGGAGGAGGAAGGGGCCACGGCAGGUCAGUAUGCCCCGAAACUCUGGGGCCACACGCGKGCUGCAAUGGUAAUGACAACGGGUCCCGAAUCCGAAAGGAAGAGGUAAUCCUUAAACAUUACCACAGUUAUGACUGAGGGCUGCAACUCGCCCUCACGAAUAUGGAAUCCCUAGUAACUGCGUGUCAUUAUCGCGCGGUGAAUACGUCCCUGCUCCUU